GCCAUAGCUCAGUGGUUUGAGCAUCUGGUUUGCAUGCAGAAGGUCCCAGGUUCAGUCCCUGGUAUCUCCA
rnacentral:tRNA from 1 species